GUAGCAGCCGCGGUAAUACGGGAGCCAGCAGCCGCGGUAAUACGGGAGCCAGCAGCCGCGGUAAUACGGGAGCCAGCAGCCGCGGUAAUACGGGAGCCAGCAGCCGCGGUAAUACGGA
rnacentral:rRNA from 1 species